rnacentral:lncRNA from 10 species
CGACGGGUUUCACCGUUAGCCAGGAUGGUCUCAAUCUCCUGACUUCAUGAUCCGCCCAUCUCAGCCUUCCAGUGCUGGGAUUACAGGCAUGAGCCACUGUGCCCGGCCCUGGAGCCAGGAUUUAAACCCAGCCACUGUUAGUAUAUUCCAUCAGAACUGACAGAUCCUGAUUCAUCAUCAUCUUCCCUCCUGAAAUCCUCAAACUUUUACACUCAGCUAUAGGCUUUCUCUCCUCUUUGCUUUCUUCCUUGACCUAAAGCUGUUCACCAUACUUGGGACACACUUAGCUCACUCACACAAGUCCAAAUCCUUUAGUUUUCCCUUGUUCUGCAAAACAAGAUACAAUUCCCAAUUUUAUAAUUGCCUGAUUUGUCUUUACAUGGUAAUGAUGGGCUUAGAUCAUGUAAUUUUUGUUGAAUGUUAAGCACAGAGUAUCUUGAGCACAUCAAGAUUAAAUCUGUCCAAUCUUCUGAGAGGCAAAAAGAUAAGGUACAUUAAAACUACAAAAUAAUAGGUACAGUUGAUUCUUCAAAGAUGAUACAGUCAUAUCAAUUUAUUUAAAAUGUAGGCUGGGG